GCGGCUUAGGCGGCGGCGGCGGCGAAGGAUGCACCCGGCAGGCUUGGCGGCGGCGGCGGGGACGCCCCGGCUGCCCUCGAAGCGGAGGAUCCCUGUGUCCCAGCCGGGCAUGGCCGACCCCCACCAGCUUUUCGAUGAUACAAGUUCAGCCCAGAGCCGGGGCUUUGGGGCCCAGCGGGCACCUGGUGGCCUAGGCUAUCCAGCAGCCUCUCCCACGCCCCAGGCAGCCUUCCUGGCUGACCCGGUGUCCAACAUGGCCAUGGCCUAUGGGAGCAGCCUGGCCGCGCAGGGCAAGGAGCUGGUGGAUAAGAACGUGAGUGGCGGGGGCUGGUGGGAGUGGGGGGAUGCACGGGGCCACAGGGCUUCAGACUUGAGCUCUGCCUCCCCAGAUCGACCGCUUCAUCCCUAUCACCAAGCUCAAGUAUUACUUUGCUGUGGACACCAUAUAUGUGGGCAGAAAGCUGGGCCUGCUGUUCUUCCCCUACCUACACCAGGUCAGCACCCCCAGGGGAAUGUGGGUCUGCGGUGGGCCUGUGGGGGCUCAGGGGUGGGGGCACGUGCAUGGUGGAGCCGGGAGAUUCGCCUCGAGGGAGGAGGGCCUGUAGCAGGGUGGGAGGGGCCUGGCUCUGAGGGUCCUGCCCGUCUCCCCAUCCCCACAGGACUGGGAGGUGCAGUACCAACAGGACACCCCGGUGGCCCCCCGCUUUGACGUCAAUGCCCCGGACCUCUACAUUCCAGGUUUCACCCUCCCCUACCCCGCACCCUCCUCUCUCUUCCAGGCCUGUAUGGGGCGGGUGUGUGGGUGCCUGGAGGCCCAGGGCAGUUCUUCCUCUGGUGACCAGUGUCUGUGUGUCUGUCUCCCACAGCAAUGGCUUUCAUCACCUAUGUUUUGGUGGCUGGUCUUGCGCUGGGGACCCAGGAUAGGUUCUCCCCAGACCUCCUGGGGCUGCAAGCGAGCUCAGCCCUGGCCUGGCUGACCCUGGAGGUGCUGGCCAUCCUGCUCAGCCUCUAUCUGGUCACUGUCAACACCGACCUCACCACCAUCGACCUGGUGGCCUUCUUGGGCUACAAAUAUGUCGGGUGAGUACCCCCGCCCUUCGUGUCAGCCCCAGCCCUUGGGCCUUGUCCUCACACAGCCUCCUCUCCCUCCCCCAGGAUGAUUGGCGGGGUCCUCAUGGGCCUGCUCUUCGGGAAGAUUGGCUACUACCUGGUGCUGGGCUGGUGCUGCGUGGCCAUCUUUGUGUUCAUGGUGAGCUGGGGCUUGGGGCUGGUGAGGCUGAGGGCACAGGUGCCCCGGAGGCAUACAAGCAGAGGAUGUCAGGUUUGGGGUUCAGACCAGAGAUACAUUGCUGAACUGAGGAGCCCUGGAGUGGCUGCCUGGCCUGGGGGGUCAGGAGGGCUUCCUGGAAGAGGGGGUAUCCUGAGCCCUGGAAGAGGAGAUGCCAGCCUAGCUGGGCAUGGUGGUGUGUGCCUGUAGUCCCAGCUACUCAGCAGGCUGAGGCAGGAGAAUCGCUUGAACCCAGGAGGUGGAGGU
rnacentral:sRNA from 1 species